ACUACUCCGAGACUCAGAGACUGGCAAAACAUUCCUGUGGAUUCAUGUCCCUUCAGCCACUGCCACUUUGCCCAAAGAUUCAGGGCCCAAAAUGAGCCCCAGUUGGGCAGCCUUUGUCUCUUCAGAGUUGGCAGUUCUACUGCCCCACAAAGAAGUGUUCUCCCUCUGCAUCUGGGAAUCAGGACUCCUGAGUUCUGGUGAAUAAUCUUGGAUGACACUCAUUCCUGCUCCAGAACCUCGUGGCUGACUUUAUGCCCUGCAGGAUCACUUGUUGCUUUCUCCCUAUGUAGCUCCCGUUGCCUCUCUCUGGUAUGGUGACUUGUGGAGAGACUAGGGUCUCUGCGAGGGAGAAGAAUAUGUUGUAGAGAAGUGAGAAGCAGGCAGCCAGGACCCUUGCCACGGUAGAAUGAAAGCCUGCUGGUUUGGGCUCCCACCAACAGAUUGCUCUUCUUUUCUCUUCUGGGAUACCGUGAAAAGAGCAUUGGCUUCAGAGUCAGCUUCAUCUAAUUUCAAAUCCUAGCACACCACUUAGGUAAAUUGCAUACUUUCUCUCUUAAGUCUCACCAGUAAGACAGGAUAAGGUUUCCUUCUUCAGGGGUUGAAAAGUUUUAGUGAGAUAGGUAGAAACUGCCUGGCUCAUUGUAGAUGCUUAGUAAAAUGUCAGGCUUUCUUUUAUUCUUCCCUUUUCCCCCAGACAAGACAAAAGCCCUGGUGUCUGAAAGUUACCAGGUGCAGGAAGUUUGGGGUUCCAGCGAGCUCCCUCUGUGACUCUUGGUGCUUUUGAGCCCCUUCUUCCUGCUCCUUAUUCCUUGGCCCUGUACCCAACUCUCUCUACUCCGCUGCUCCUGAGUUUCAAGUUUCGUUUUUGUAUAACUUCUGUGGUCUAUACUUCCAGCUCUUCUCUUUCCCAGGCUAAGAAAUCCUUUCUCCUUGAAGAAGGACUUUCUUGCGCAGAGAUCAGAAUGUGAAAUAAGGGAGAGAUGGAGCUGAAGGAGUUGGGUUUGGUAGGGGUAUUGGAAUGAAAGCUCAUUUCCCUUUCCAGGAGCGUGGAAUGACUAACCUGGCACCAUUCUAAGGGGAAAGAAGGGUUUAGCCAAGUCACAGGAUUGAAAGACCCUGAUGGGCCGGGGCAUGGUGGGUAGUGGUUUUGGAGUGAAAGGAGAAAGCAAAUGGGCUGUGGGUUGGUGAGCUCCACCUUGGGAUCCAGAGCAGGUGUCGGGGGAACUUAAGAGAGGAGGGGAGGGCAUGGGGAUGGGUUUCUAAGAGGGAAUAGUGUGGCCCACCUGGAAAAAAGGUAAAUGAGAAGAUGUAGGCAGUCUUGUUUUCUGCUCCAGGCCGUCUGUCUGGGCGGUCCCAUAGCCCAGACUCCUGAAAGCCCCUAAAGGUCCCUGGAGUAGGGUACGCCCUCGGACAAGGCCCAGGGUCCGCGGGGAGGGAGGAGCCUGGGGCUGUGGGUGGGGCUCGCGGAGCUGCCCCGCCCCUGCCUCCCCUUCCCGCCGCGUCCCGGGCUCUCCCCUCGCCCAGCUUCCCUCCCUUCCGCGCUCGUGCUGGAGGGCGGAGCUGGGCCCGCUCCAUUGUGAAAAGGAGGGGAGAGGCGUGCGGGAGCCGUGCUGAGGUUCCGCCACCAGCGCCCUCACCUCCCGGCCGCCGCAGCUGCACCUGGCCGUCCCCGCAGCCGGGAUGCGGCGGGCGCCCGGGGCUGGCUGGCAGUGCAGCGGCUCCAGGGUCGUGUGCGCUGGCCCAGACCGCCUGUGACCAUGAGCCUGACCGCCCGCGUCUCCUACUCCAUGCUUAGCUGCUUCGGUGAGGAGGGCCCCCCAGCCUGGAGUACAUCCAAGCCAAGGAUCUGUUCCCCCCCCAAGGAACUAGUGAAGGAGGAGGAGAAUCUUCAG